GAUUAAGUUAUUAAGGGCGCACGGUGGAUGCCUUGGCACUAGAAGCCGAUGAAGGACGUUACUAACGACGAUAUGCUUUGGGGAGCUGUAAGUAAGCUUUGAUCCAGAGAUUUCCGAAUGGGGAAACCCAGCAUGAGUUAUGUCAUGUUAUCGAUAUGUGAAUACAUAGCAUAUCAGAAGGCACACCCGGAGAACUGAAACAUCUUAGUACCCGGAGGAAGAGAAAGAAAAUUCGAUUCCCUUAGUAGCGGCGAGCGAAACGGGAAGAGCCCAAACCAACAAGCUUGCUUGUUGGGGUUGUAGGACACUCUAUACGGAGUUACAAAGGACGACAUUAGACGAAUCAUCUGGAAAGAUGAAUCAAAGAAGGUAAUAAUCCUGUAGUCGAAAAUGUUGUCUCUCUUGAGUGGAUCCUGAGUACGACGGAGCACGUGAAAUUCCGUCGGAAUCUGGGAGGACCAUCUCCUAAGGCUAAAUACUCUCUAGUGACCGAUAGUGAACCAGUACCGUGAGGGAAAGGUGAAAAGCACCCCGGAAGGGGAGUGAAAUAGAACCUGAAACCGUGUGCUUACAAGUAGUCAGAGCCCGUUAAUGGGUGAUGGCGUGCCUUUUGUAGAAUGAACCGGCGAGUUACGAUUUGAUGCAAGGUUAAGCAGUAAAUGUGGAGCCGUAGCGAAAGCGAGUCUGAAUAGGGCGUUUAGUAUUUGGUCGUAGACCCGAAACCAGGUGAUCUACCCUUGGUCAGGUUGAAGUUCAGGUAACACUGAAUGGAGGACCGAACCGACUUACGUUGAAAAGUGAGCGGAUGAACUGAGGGUAGCGGAGAAAUUCCAAUCGAACCUGGAGAUAGCUGGUUCUCUCCGAAAUAGCUUUAGGGCUAGCCUCAAGUGAUGAUUAUUGGAGGUAGAGCACUGUUUGGACGAGGGGCCCCUCUCGGGUUACCGAAUUCAGACAAACUCCGAAUGCCAAUUAAUUUAACUUGGGAGUCAGAACAUGGGUGAUAAGGUCCGUGUUCGAAAGGGAAACAGCCCAGACCACCAGCUAAGGUCCCAAAAUAUAUGUUAAGUGGAAAAGGAUGUGGCGUUGCCCAGACAACUAGGAUGUUGGCUUAGAAGCAGCCAUCAUUUAAAGAGUGCGUAAUAGCUCACUAGUCGAGUGACACUGCGCCGAAAAUGUACCGGGGCUAAACAUAUUACCGAAGCUGUGGAUUGUCCUUUGGACAAUGGUAGGAGAGCGUUCUAAGGGCGUUGAAGCAUGAUCGUAAGGACAUGUGGAGCGCUUAGAAGUGAGAAUGCCGGUGUGAGUAGCGAAAGACGGGUGAGAAUCCCGUCCACCGAUUGACUAAGGUUUCCAGAGGAAGGCUCGUCCGCUCUGGGUUAGUCGGGUCCUAAGCUGAGGCCGACAGGCGUAGGCGAUGGAUAACAGGUUGAUAUUCCUGUACCACCUAUAAUCGUUUUAAUCGAUGGGGGGACGCAGUAGGAUAGGCGAAGCGUGCGAUUGGAUUGCACGUCUAAGCAGUAAGGCUGAGUAUUAGGCAAAUCCGGUACUCAUNNNNNNNNNNNNNNNNNNNNNNNNNNNNNNNNNNNNNNNNNNNNNNNNNNNNNNNNNNNNNNNNNNNNNNNNNNNNNNNNNNNNNNNNNNNNNNNNCGUUAAGGCUGAGCUGUGAUGGGGAGAAGACAUUGUGUCUUCGAGUCGUUGAUUUCACACUGCCGAGAAAAGCCUCUAGAUAGAAAAUAGGUGCCCGUACCGCAAACCGACACAGGUAGUCAAGAUGAGAAUUCUAAGGUGAGCGAGCGAACUCUCGUUAAGGAACUCGGCAAAAUGACCCCGUAACUUCGGGAGAAGGGGUGCUCUUUAGGGUUAACGCCCAGAAGAGCCGCAGUGAAUAGGCCCAAGCGACUGUUUAUCAAAAACACAGGUCUCUGCUAAACCGUAAGGUGAUGUAUAGGGGCUGACGCCUGCCCGGUGCUGGAAGGUUAAGAGGAGUGGUUAGCUUCUGCGAAGCUACGAAUCGAAGCCCCAGUAAACGGCGGCCGUAACUAUAACGGUCCUAAGGUAGCGAAAUUCCUUGUCGGGUAAGUUCCGACCCGCACGAAAGGCGUAACGAUUUGGGCACUGUCUCAACGAGAGACUCGGUGAAAUCAUAGUACCUGUGAAGAUGCAGGUUACCCGCGACAGGACGGAAAGACCCCGUGGAGCUUUACUGUAGCCUGAUAUUGAAAUUCGGCACAGCUUGUACAGGAUAGGUAGGAGCCUUUGAAACGUGAGCGCUAGCUUACGUGGAGGCGCUGGUGGGAUACUACCCUAGCUGUGUUGGCUUUCUAACCCGCACCACUUAUCGUGGUGGGAGACAGUGUCAGGCGGGCAGUUUGACUGGGGCGGUCGCCUCCUAAAAGGUAACGGAGGCGCUCAAAGGUUCCCUCAGAAUGGUUGGAAAUCAUUCAUAGAGUGUAAAGGCAUAAGGGAGCUUGACUGCGAGACCUACAAGUCGAGCAGGGUCGAAAGACGGACUUAGUGAUCCGGUGGUUCCGCAUGGAAGGGCCAUCGCUCAACGGAUAAAAGCUACCCCGGGGAUAACAGGCUUAUCUCCCCCAAGAGUUCACAUCGACGGGGAGGUUUGGCACCUCGAUGUCGGCUCAUCGCAUCCUGGGGCUGUAGUCGGUCCCAAGGGUUGGGCUGUUCGCCCAUUAAAGCGGUACGCGAGCUGGGUUCAGAACGUCGUGAGACAGUUCGGUCCCUAUCCGUCGUGGGCGUAGGAAAUUUGAGAGGAGCUGUCCUUAGUACGAGAGGACCGGGAUGGACAUACCUCUGGUGUACCAGUUGUCGUGCCAACGGCAUAGCUGGGUAGCUAUGUGUGGACGGGAUAAGUGCUGAAAGCAUCUAAGCAUGAAGCCCCCCUCAAGAUGAGAUUUCCCAACUUCGGUUAUAAGAUCCCUCAAAGAUGAUGAGGUUAAUAGGUUCGAGGUGGAAGCAUGGUGACAUGUGGAGCUGACGAAUACUAAUCGAUCGAAGACUUAAUCAA
rnacentral:rRNA from 1 species